GGAGUCUGGACCGUGUCUCAGUUCCAAUGUGGGGGGACCUUCCUCUCAGAACCCCUAACCAUCGUCGCCUUGGUAGGCCGUUACCCUACCAACUAGCUAAUGGUACGCGAGCCGAUCCGAUAACGAUAAAUCUCUCAACAACAGCCCAUGCGGACCAUUGUGUUACGGGGUAUUACACAUCGUUUCCAAUGACUAUCCCCCACGUAUCGGGCACGUUGCUCACGCGUUACUCACCCUUUCGCCGGUCGCCGCCAAGGUAUUGCUACCUCGCGCUGCCCCUCCGACUUGCAUGUGUUAAGCCUGCCGCUAGCGUUCAUCCUGAGCCACUGAUCAAAACUCU
rnacentral:rRNA from 1 species